rnacentral:rRNA from 1 species
CCUACGGGAGGCAGCAGUGAGGAAUAUUGGUCAAUGGCCGGAAGGCUGAACCAGCCAAGCCGCGUGAAGGACGAAGGUGCCAAGCAUUGUAAACUUCUUUUGUCAAGGGACAAAAUCAGGCUCGAGAGCCUGACCGAGUGUACUUGAAGAAAAAGCAUCGGCUAACUCCGUGCCAGCAGCCGCGGUAAUACGGAGGAUGCGAGCGUUCUCCGGUUUUAUUGGGUGUAAAGGGUGCGUACGGGGGCGGUUAAGUCAGCGGUAAAAGCCCGGGGCUCACCCCCGGCGAGCCGUUGAAGCGGGCUGUCUUGAGAUGACGAGAGGUAUGCGGAAUG